ensembl:lncRNA
GUCACAUGGGUGAUGCUGCUGACCCUGUGCCUGCCAUUACAGGAGGAAGUGUCAUCAUCAACUGUGUGUAUAAUCGUGAAAAUGCGAAAACCAGUGCAAAAAGCUUUUGCAAAAAGUUGGGCAGUAAUUGUACAACCAUGACAGAAGUAAAGAAUGAUUUAUGGAUCCCAGAGGAGAGAUUCUCUAUGACUGAUAAUACAACUCUGGGUCUGAUUAGUGUGCUCAUUAGAAACCUGACUGUAAAUGACAGUGUAUUUCUGUGGAAUAUACAGCAACCUUAUCUACAUUCCCCUUUUCACAGAGAUUCAUCUUCAUGUUUCAGGUGAGAACACAAGGUGCUUCACGAUGCCACAGAAGAACCUUUUUGUCUAAAUGGUUCCAUAAAGAAUCUUUACAUCUGAAGAACCUUUCUGUUUCACAAAAGCUUCUUUGUGGUGAAAGAAUGUUCUUCGGAUUAUAAAAAGGGAAGAAAGAGAUGGUUCUUUGACUGAAUGGUUCUUUAUGGAGCCAAAAAUGGUUCUUCUAUGGCAUCGCUGUGAAGAACCCUCUGAAGUACCUUUAUUUUAAAGAGUGUACAUGUAAUGUAUGCUAAUGUCAUUUUGAUUCUUGACCUUUCAUCUGUGGACAACAAUGGAAAACCAAGAACAGAUGCUUCAGUCCAGUCUGAUCUCUACGUCAUCAUUAUGGUGAAUAUGUGUUUGAUUCUGUUAUUAGCUGGAGGACUGAGUUUGUUGUUGCUCAAGCGGAAAUGUAAAAAGACACAAGGUACAAACACAAAUGCUCCGAAACCAAAUGUGAUACUGAAAUCUCUUAACUUCUGUAUUCUUGUAUAUUCACUUGCAUCAUUUUGUCCAUCCACAGGUUCAGUCUCAUCAGAUCAGAGGAGCACAAGAGACGAUGAUGAGGUGGCCUCAUCUGCUUAUUAUGCAACGAUCCCAGACUCUGGAAACACAACAUUACACCCGUCUGUUCAGAAGCCCAUUGGUUUAAACACGGUUUAUGACACGGCCCAUUUACCCACAAACCCCUCUGACAGUGAUUUCUACACACUGGCUGAACAACCUCAAAAUAUGACAUGUUUGUGAUUCAGUAUGUUGGCAUAUAUUAGAAUAAAUAAAGUCAAUUAUUUGUCA